rnacentral:tRNA from 1 species
GGGAAUAUGGCUCAGUUGGUAGAGCAAUUGACUGUUAAUCAAGGGGUCACAGGUUCGAGUCCUUUUAUUCCCGCCA